UCUUUUGUGGUGUAACGGUUAGCACACUCGGUGCGUACUCGAGAGGUCCGGGUUCGAAUCCCGGCGAGAAAU
rnacentral:tRNA from 1 species